UUGCCCCUUGGUGCCCAAAGUGCCCUUUUGUCAAAGAAAAAAUUCCUCUCAUUUUUUUUAUUAAUUAAAGGCCCUUUUGUGAAUGCCUGCCUAUGCCAAAUCUAAAUAUUAGUAAAAUGUAUGAUUAAUAAUUUAGCCUUAAAUAAAAUGAUCCAGAUGAUGACCUUUCACCUGACGAUGACCUCAUCCGACCGGGACUAUUCCUCACGCCGCACGGCCUCAGCACGCGCAUUUUUUAAUUACCGGAAGAUAUCUUCAACACCGCGACCGCGGUAGCUGCAAAGACCACUAUUCAGAGACGCUUUAAAGGAGGAGAUAAUUCCAAAUGGGAAAUAUUGCAUGCCUUCCAUUGCCUGACAGUCCCAGAGAACUGGAAAACAGCUAGCGUUCCAACAGCAGCACUCCAAGCUGUGAAGAAACUGUGCCAGUUCUACAAUAUUGAAGAUGAAGACAAAUUGCAGACAGAAUUGAAGGUCUUCCAUACGUCAUACUCAUGCCCACCACCAGCCAAUGUGUCUUCUAUUCUGUCAGUGGCCAAGGAAAACAAUGCACAUCUAGUUUUCCCCAACAUGACUCUGCUGCUGAAGACAUAUGGCACACUUCCGGUGUCCACAGCAACUGUGGAACGUUCCUUCUCAAAACUGAAGCUUGUGAAAACCAAACUUCGCAGCUUUUGCAAAGAGGAGAGAUUGUCUGACCUUCUUCUGUUGGCCAUUGAGAAGGACAUUCCAAUAAAUGACAAUAAUGUCAUUAACAUUUUUAGGGACAUGGCCAACAGGAAAUUUCUGUUAUAAAAGUCUACAACAACUCAUCCUCCACUUAUUGCUCUUGGUGUGCAGCAGCCUCUGUGAGCAUCUCCCUCUUAUUUUCUUGGAGCAGUCAGCCUUGGCAGAUCAACUCCAGUAUUAGCAGCAGCAGCAACAACAACAGCAAAGGCAGCAUACUCACUCAAGGAAUUUAGUAAGAUUUUACCAGAACAGGUAUCACAUUCAUGUAAAAAAUCUGUUGUAUUUGCUGUAAAAUAAAAUUGCUGUAUUUUUUCUGUUUGUUUUUGUUUUUAUUAUAUUAAAUGGAACUCUUGUAUUUUUGUAAUUCAGUUUUUGCCA